UACGAAGGGGGCUAGCGUUGCUCGGAAUUACUGGGCGUAAAGGGCGCGUAGGCGGACAGCUUAGUCAGAGGUGAAAGCCCAGGGCUCAACCUUGGAAUUGCCUUUGAUACUGGCUGUCUUGAGUUCGGGAGAGGUGAGUGGAAUGCCGAGUGUAGAGGUGAAAUUCGUAGAUAUUCGGCGGAACACCAGUGGCGAAGGCGACUCACUGGCCCGAUACUGACGCUGAGGCGCGAAAGCGUGGGGAGCAAACAGG
rnacentral:rRNA from 1 species